rnacentral:rRNA from 1 species
UACACGCUGUGACUAGCAUAUCAAUAAGCGGAGGAAAAGAAACUAACAAGGAUUCCCCUAGUAACGGCGAGUGAAGCGGGAAGAGCUCAAAUUUGAAAUCUUAAAGGGUUUCCCUUUACGAAUUGUAGUUUAAAGAAGUGUUUUCUGUUGAGGUUUUGGUAAAAGUUCUUUGGAAUAGGACAUCAUAGAGGGUGAGAAUCCCGUAUUUGACCUUUACUUUCAACUUUGUGAUACACUUUCAAAGAGUCGGAUUGUUUGGGAAUGCAGUCCAAAAUGGGUGGUAAAUUUCAUCUAAAGCUAAAUAUUGGCGAGAGACCGAUAGCGAACAAGUACCGUGAGGGAAAGAUGAAAAGAACUUUGAAAAGAGAGUUAAACAGUACGUGAAAUUGUCAAAAGGGAAGCGUUUGACACCAGUGUUGUUUUUCUGAAAAUCAAUUAAAGAACUGUUUAUGCUAAGUUGUUUAGACUUUAUCAGCUAUCUGCUUAGUUUUGAGCUUUUCUUUAAUGCACUUUUCAGUUAACAAGUCAACAUCAAUUUCUUUUGCUGUAAAAAAGCUUGAGGAAGGUGGCUUGAGAUUCGUCUUAAGUGUUUAUAGCCUCUUGCCUAUGCAGUCGGAGAGAUUGAGGUCUGCAGCGUAGAUCCUUCGGGGCUAAAUGCAUUUGUGCUAAGUUAUAGCAUUUUAUAGACAACUUGUUGACUAUGAUUUGUCUUGUAGCUUACUCGCUUAUGUUAUUUUACCUACGCUUAGGAUGUUGACGAGACUGUCGAUCUC